rnacentral:rRNA from 1 species
AUUGAACGCUGGCGGCAGGCCUAACACAUGCGAGUCGAGCGGAUGAAGGGAGCUUGCUCUUGGAUUCAGCGGCGGACGGGUGAGUAAUGCCUAGGAAUCUGCCUGGUAGUGGGGGAUAACGUCCGGAAACGGGCGCUAAUACCGCAUACGUCCUGAGGGAGAAAGUGGGGGAUCUUCGGACCUCACGCUAUCAGAUGAGCCUAGGUCGGAUUAGCUAGUUGGUGGGGUAAAGGCCUACCAAGGCGACGAUCCGUAACUGGUCUGAGAGGAUGAUCAGUCACACUGGAACUGAGACACGGUCCAGACUCCUACGGGAGGCAGCAGUGGGGAAUAUUGGACAAUGGGCGAAAGCCUGAUCCAGCCAUGCCGCGUGUGUGAAGAAGGUCUUCGGAUUGUAAAGCACUUUAAGUUGGGAGGAAGGGCAGUAAGUUAAUACCUUGCUGUUUUGACGUUACCAACAGAAUAAGCACCGGCUAACUUCGUG